AGUGCUCCCUCAGUCCCUGGAGUUCCCAGCCAAGCCACAGACCUGCCUCUAAGGAAGGGAAUCGAGAAGGGAGUAGGAGGGGACCUCUGGGGACUCGGGCCUGGAGCUCCUGCCUGCCUAGAUGAAGAGGAGGUCAAGACUUUGUCCCCCACUCCCCAAGAUACCCCCUCUGUUCCAGAGCGGUGGGUCCCUCCCCUGUUAGGACCUUGUCUCCCUCAGGACUGGACCUGGAUCCUGGGCCUGCAGUCAGAUUGCCAGUCUCACUUAGAGGUGGUAAUGUCAACCCACUGGUUGGAAUGGGAAGGUGAGACGGGAUUUCACCAUGUUAGCCAGGAUGGUCUCGAUCUCCUGACCUCGUGAUCUGCCCACCUCGGCCUCCCAAAGUGCUGGGAUUACAGGCAUGAGCCACCGUGCCCGGCCAAAAAUAACUUUUAAAAACAUGAGUAUAGCAUACACACACACAAAAGUCCACAAAUCCUAAGUGUACCACUUGAUGAAUGAUCCCAAUGUGAGCACACCUCUGGAUUACCACC
rnacentral:antisense_RNA from 1 species